AACAAACACUGUUGCCAUGAACUAAGACAUAUGAACUUGGCAGAACUAAGCAGGGACACAAGACAGAAAGCUGCAUUCACAUUGGAAACAAUUUGCAGCAGUGUGGCGGCUCGAGAGUGAAUGACAGUCUGUGGCUUCAAGAAACUACAGCUGGAGCGUGAAAUGACUGCAAGCAGCCUUCCUUCAGCUUCGAAGCCAUGCACACGGG